AUUGAACGCUGGCGGCAUGCUUUGCACAUGCAAGUCGAACGGUAACAGGCCUUCGGGUGCUGACGAGUGGCGAACGGGUGAGUAAUGCAUCGGAACGUGCCCAAUCGUGGGGGAUAACGUAGCGAAAGUUACGCUAAUACCGCAUAAGCCCUGAGGGGGAAAGCAGGGGAUCGCAAGACCUUGCGCGAAUGGAGCGGCCGAUGUCAGAUUAGCUAGUUGGUGGGGUAAAGGCCUACCAAGGCGACGAUCUGUAGCGGGUCUGAGAGGAUGAUCCGCCACACUGGGACUGAGACACGGCCCAGACUCCUACGGGAGGCAGCAGUGGGGAAUUUUGGACAAUGGGCGCAAGCCUGAUCCAGCCAUGCCGCGUGCGGGACGAAGGCC
rnacentral:rRNA from 1 species